UUAGGAUGCAUUGUUGUCUGUAUUACUUUAGUAGUCAUUGUAUUACAUUCACAAUUUCAGCAGCAGACAAUUUAACCGCUAGUGAGAGACCUACGACUGAUUUGAAUUCCAAGUACCUGCCAGCGACAACCACCUCGACAACCACUUCUGACUGGAUGAAUCAGACCUCCGUCUUUGCAAGUGAAGCACCUACAGCUCAGGGUGGAUCGAGUUUCACCAUCCGUCUGAGCUUGGUUGUCUCCUUUAUAAUGGUGACCUUAUUCAUCUGGUUUAUGGUCAAAAUACACAAACAGACCAAAGACUCAUCAGCCAUGACAACGGAACAACAAGAGGAAGUAAGAUGCACGAGAAAAACAACAGGACAUGUACAAUGCGUGACUUUUAAAACCAAUAAGUAAUAUAUGCAACAGAAUCAUAUAAAAAUGGACAUUGCAGAGAGUGAUGUGGAAGAAACGUACAUCUCUGUGGUUAAAGCAACAGAUAUAAACUACAUACUGUGGUUCAGUAUCUUCUGCAGACCACAGGGUCAAGUCAAAGUGUAGACCUUUAACUGAGUUUUUAUCUUUUCCUUUUUUCCAAACUUACAUUAUGUUUGCAUUCCAAAAGUUAUGUAUUUAUAUUUAUUUUUAUCACUAGCAUAUUAUUGACAGAAAUAAUCAGUCAACAGUGGUUUUUUGUCAGUUGCAGUUGUUGCUACUGAUAUAGGUCAGUACUUCUAGAGGUGUUCUCUUGAAAUUUUGGGUCUACUGACUUUACACCCAGUAUACAUAACAUGCAUAUUAUUUGCAGUGAUUUUCAGUUGCAGUUGUUGCAAAAUUGAUUUUUGAAUUUUGGGUCUUCUGACUUUACACACAAUACACAUAACAUGCAUAUUAUUUGCAGUGAUUUUCCAGCUACUUUGAAAUUGUAGCUGCUUAAGCUGAAAGCUACUCUUCGUUUGGGGAAGUAGUUAAAUUUGUGUCGAAAGCAGCAAGCAACACAGAAAGCUUCUAAGAAUAUGUAACUGAAAACAUUAUUUUUAAUCCAGUUAUCGCU